CACGUCAAAGCGACAUUUUUCUAGGUUAAACCAUAGACAUAUAUAUGUUUCUAGAUUCCACUGCAGCCUACAAUUCCCGCGGUGAAUCUCGUGGCGCGUUUGUUUAUGACGUCACACAACAUAUAAAUACCGUUCAUUCGCGUGAUAGCAUUCUCUUGGAAUCUGUGCUAUCUUUUUGAGACACUCCUCCCAAACAUGAGAGGGAAGUGGAAAAAGAAGCGCAUGCGUAGGCUGAAGCGCAAAAGGAGAAAGAUGAGGCAGAGGUCCAAGUAAACUGCUUCCCUUCUGCUGCAGCUGGAACUGCUCCUCCUAGACCUUCCCACCGACCCCUCGCCUUCUCCAGAAACCCAAGCUGAGGCCUUUUGAAGGACUCCUACAUUCCUCAGAAGGAUGCGGGCACCCUUGUUGGAUCUCCUGGCUCUUCUAUUUGUGAUGUGCUGACCUGUGAAAGCUUCUCUUGGACAUUCUGGACUUCCGCCAGCUCAGCAAAGUUUUUGUUUAUAUUUCCUUGAAUAAAGAAAUUUGAUUUGGAAAAGGGGAAAUGCUGUAUUCUAUUUCUACCACUACGAUGGUACAGGUUUUUUUUUUUUUUUUUUUAAUGCUCCAGUUUUAUAGUUGGACUGGUGGGGGUUUAGUUAACCUGUGAUGUAGUGUAGAUGGUCAAAUAAGGUUUUCUUGGUUAGAGUUCAUGGAAUUUCACCAAGUUUUAAAAAAAAAAAACGGACCAGGAAAAUAUUUCGCUCCAUGUCUAGGAAUGAAGUUCAUCCAACCAUGGUGACCCUGAUCCCUAGGAAGCUUGAUUUAACAGAACCUCACAUUCCAUCGAAAAUGACAUGCUCUAAAGGUGCCAUCUGUCGGAUCGCCGCAGAAAUGGCAUAUGGUAUCAUAAGUGUUUUCUUUACUGUAUUACCUGUAAUUAGAAAUUGUGUUGGCUUAAUGCGCACUUCAUAUCUAUAUAGAGAGCGGGUCCUCUUCUGCAGGCUCUGCCGUGUUGUACCGCCAUGUUUGUACAGUAGCCCAGAAUGGUGUUUUAGUGUUUUUAUGGCAACGGAUGGCCACCGUAGGCUAUCUAGAAUAUUGGAGAGGGCUGUUCAGUCGGUUGUUCAAUCUUGCCGCUAGAUGCCACUAAAUCUUGCACAAUGCACCAUUAAUUAAGAUAUAAGGUAGACGUUCUCUAUUGAGAGGAGUGGUUGAAAGUGAAGCAGAUAGAUUGGCAAAUUCAUUCACAUUACUUUUAUUUUCUGAGAUAAAAGUAGAUGAAUUUGUAGAUUUUAAGUUUUAAGUGCCUUGACUCGUGCCUGGGAAAGUGCACUGAGUUGAGGUCAUUAGAGGAAAAGAAAGCACAACUUUAGUCUUGUGACAUGCUUUAAUCUGACCAUAUGCAGGCAGUCUAGGGAAUUUGUAUAUGUAUAUGUACUUGGCGGGCUGAUUUUUCAAGGCUUCAAAAAGUGAUUUGGUCUAAGCUGUGUCUGUUGAGGUAAUACAAUUUUUUUGUAGUUCCCUAUUUUUUCAACAUAUUUGAGCUGAUAACAGUUUUAACAACAUUUGUUAUUGGUACAUAUGUUAGCAAACUCACCUCUGAUAUUGUCUUUUCGAAGAAAAAGUAAAACCACAGCAUCGCCAAAUAUCUGGGAAAUGAGCCUUACCAUUCUCCUGUCAUGCAUAACUGAUUUGCUCACUGGACUGUUAUCUCAGUACACACUGAAAGGAACACCAUUAAGACAGUGCUUUUGCACAAGGCCUUCUGAGUAGCACCUAUCAUUGUGCAACUAGUAUUUCAGGAGUAUGCCACUUAAUCUAACUCGAGGUUAUUAUUUUUGCAUUAGUAUGAUCUAAGACCAAACUGGGAGGACAGAUAACAGUUCAGCUGCACUGAAGAAAAAAAUCAAUCUAUCCAGCUGUUUAGGGAGGGCAGAAAUAAUUCACUCUUCUUUUGUAGGUCCCACCACUCUUUGAGGCUGAGUGCUUGCAUCACAGCAAACACCUUGAUGCCGUUGCUUUACCAAAGCUACUUCUUGGUCACAGAGGCAUCAGCAAUUGUGCAGUCCUUUUCUUGUCUAUAAAAAGCAGCCCAGAGACACUGGCUAUAGUCCCUGUGGCUGACUGUUUCCCAUUGUUUUAAAUUCAGAAUCCCGAAAGCUGGUUGGCUGCUGUCCAGUUGUCACAUGCUGAUGUGAGUAAACACAACGUUCUGUACUUCCUAACCCACAUGUCUAUAUAAGGUCCCACAGCCGACAA
ensembl:lncRNA